rnacentral:rRNA from 1 species
CUUAACACAUCAAGUCGAACGGUGAAGCCCAGCUUGCUGGGUGGAUCAUGGCGAACGGGUGAGUAACACGUGAGCAAUCUGCCCCUGACUCUGGGAUAAGCGCUGGAAACGGCGUCUAAUACCGGAUAUGAGCUACGGCCGCAUGGUCGGUAGUUGGAAAGAAUUUCGGUCAGGGAUGAGCUCGCGGCCUAUCAGCUUGUUGGUGAGGUAAUGGCUCACCAAGGCGUCGACGGGUAGCCGGCCUGAGAGGGUGACCGGCCACACUGGGACUGAGACACGGCCCAGACUCCUACGGGAGGCAGCAGUGGGGAAUAUUGCACAAUGGGCGCAAGCCUGAUGCAGCAACGCCGCGUGAGGGAUGACGGCCUUCGGGUUGUAAACCUCUUUUAGCGAGGAAGAAGCGAAAGUGACGGUACUCGCAGAAAAAGCGCCGGCUAACUACGUGCCAGCAGCCGCGGUAAUACGUAGGGCGCAAGCGUUAUCCGGAAUUAUUGGGCGUAAAGAGCUCGUAGGCGGUUUGUCGCGUCUGCUGUGAAAACUGGAGGCUCAACCUCCAGCCUGCAGUGGGUACGGGCAGACUAGAGUGCGGUAGGGGAGAUUGGAAUUCCUGGUGUAGCGGUGGAA